CACGUAGGGCGCAAGCGUUGUCCGGAAUUAUUGGGCGUAAAGGGCGCGUAGGCGGCUUCGUAAGUCAAAGGUGAAAUCCCUCGGCUCAACUGAGGAACUGCCUUUGAAACUGUGAGGCUUGAGGCCGGGAGGGGGUAGCGGAAUUCCCAGUGUAGCGGUGAAAUGCGUAGAUAUUGGGAGGAACACCAGUGGCGAAGGCGGCUACCUGGACCGGUUCUGACGCUGAGGCGCGAAAGCGUGGGUAGCAAACAGG
rnacentral:rRNA from 1 species